GUGCUUGCUUCGGCAGCACAUAUAUACAAUUGUGACCGAUACAGAGAAGAUUAGCAUGGUCCUUGUGCAAGGAUAACAUGCAAACUCAUGAAGGGUUCCAUAUUAAA